UUGGAGGAUUUGAAGACUUCACCUUGCAAACUUUAAGGAUUUGAAGACUUCUACUUCCAUACUCAAAGAAUUUGAAGACUUCAACU
rnacentral:pre_miRNA from 1 species